UGAGUAACCUGCCCUUAACUCUGGGAUAAGCCUGGGAAACUGAGUCUAAUACCGGAUAUGACUCCUCAUCGCAUGGUGGGGGGUGGAAAGCUUUUUGUGGUUUUGGAUGGACUCGCGGCCUAUCAGCUUGUUGGUGGGGUAAUGGCUUACCAAGGCGACGACGGGUAGCCGGCCUGAGGAGGGUGACCCGGCCACACGUGGGACUGAGACACGGCCCAGACCUCCGUACGGGAGCAG
rnacentral:rRNA from 1 species